rnacentral:rRNA from 1 species
UACGAAGGGGGCUAGCGUUGCUCGGAAUCACUGGGCGUAAAGCGCACGUAGGCGGCUUUCUAAGUCAGGGGUGAAAUCCUGGAGCUCAACUCCAGAACUGCCUUUGAUACUGGGAGCUCGAGUCCGGAAGAGGUGAGUGGAACUCCGAGUGUAGAGGUGAAAUUCGUAGAUAUUCGGAAGAACACCAGUGGCGAAGGCGGCUCACUGGUCCGGUACUGACGCUGAGGUGCGAAAAGCGUGGGGAGCAAACAGGGAU